UACUUACUAUACAAAGGCCCCCAAGUACUACACCACCAAGACUCCUGAGUAUUAAACUGCAACCUACGCUGCUCCAUCUUAGGAAACAUGGUUAACUGUGGGUCGUGCCGCUGUUGGAUGUUAUAUCAUUGAUGGCUGGGUCGACCACUGGUGUGCCGAUGUCGCCUGGUUAUGGUGAGUACCAAACCGCAACGCCGGCGCCUUACUACACAACGAAGUCAACAUACACAUAAUCUGUUACUACACCGAGGCUCCCAAGUACUACACCACCGAGUUGUCUGCCCCAGCCUACUACACCGACGCGUUCACGUACUACUCUGUUCCAAUCUACUACCAAACUCAGGAUUUUGUUUACUACACCAAGGCGAACAAGUAUUACACUACAACCAUGCUUACUAUGGCGUCGUGCUGCUGUUCGUUGUUGUAUCCUUGAUGGUUGGGUCGACUGGUGUACCGAUGUCUCGUGGGUAUGGUGGAUACCAAACCGCAACGCCGGCGUCUUACCAAACAACAACAUACGAAGGCAGCGGAGUACUACACCACGAAGGCAGCGGAGUACUACGCCACAGCAGCUGCUAAUUCGUACUUCGUUGAACUGGAAUACUAAACCGAGGCUCCGGUUUACUACACUACAACCUACGCUGCUCCCAGGUACUACACCGAAGCCCUCAAGUACUACAUCGACGAGGCCGCAUAUUGCGCUACAACCCACACUGCCCACCGAGGCUCCCAAGUACUACACCACUACUCCCACCUACUACAACGAAGCUCAGAAAUCACUACUCUGACCCGACUUACUACACCACUAAGACAGCUGAAUAUUACACCACAAACUACGCUUCCGGAUCUUACUACAAGGAGAUUCCAAAAUACUUGAGCCAAAAUUUCUAUUUGAUUUUAUUUAUGUUUCGGUUAUCUGGUUAUUGGUCACUGGAAAUUAAUUGUUGAUCCUAAAUAAGAAAAUAAAAAUUUUCAUGUGGGUAA